ACUCAAAUGAAUUGACGGGAGAGCGCACAACCAGGGGAGCAUGUGGUUUAAUUCGAUACGAAGCGAAAGACCUUACCCAGAUUUGACAUGUAACCGUUUAUUUUUCCAGAAAUGGAGAGAAAUCCGCAAGGAUGGUUACACAGCUGCUACAUAGCUAUCGUCAGCUCGUGCCGUGGGGUGUCGACUUAAGUGUCGAAACGAGCGCAACCCCUAUCUGAUGUUCAAUAGUCAUCGGAAACUGCUCUGCAUUUAGUAGAGAGGAAGGAGGGGAUGACGUUAAGUCCGUAUGGCGCUUAUAUCUGGGGCCACACACAUCCUACAAUGGGAAGUAACAAUGGGUUGCCAAGCCGUAAGGCGGAGCCAAUCCCACCAAACCUUCCCUCAGUUCAGAUCGGGGGCUGCAACUCGCCCCCGUGAAGAUGGACUUGGUAGUAAUCGCGGAUCAGCAGGCCGCGGUGAAUACGUUCUCGCUCUUUGUACACACCGCCCGU
rnacentral:rRNA from 1 species